GAUGAAGAACGUAGCGAAAUGCGAUAAGUAAUGCGAAUUGCAGAAUUUCCGUGAGUCAUCGAAUCUUUGAACGCACAUUGCGCCCACUGGUAUUCCGGUGGGCAUGCCUGUUCGAGCGUCAUUAUCCUCCCUCAAACCUCGGGUUUGGUGUUGGACCCAAGUUGUGUGAACAACUGGUCUCAAAGACAAUGACGGCGUCCGUGGGACCCUCGGUGCAACGAGCUUUUAGGAGCACGCGCCGAGUUGCAAGGACCUUCCGGGCCGGUCUCCUUUUACUAUUUUACAAGGUUGACCUCGGAUCAGGUAGGAAUACCCGCUGAACUUAAGCAUAUCAAUAAGCGGAGGA
rnacentral:misc_RNA from 1 species